rnacentral:lncRNA from 1 species
GUGGGAAAGAGAGGUCCAGAGGUCUGGUUGACGGCCGUGGCAGAGGAGCGGGUCUGAGCACACUCGGACUCGUCAUGUCCUCGGCACACCGAGUGAGUCGCCCUGCCUAGGCUGUCCAGCUCUGACCUCUUACUUCCGCACAGCCCCCCGGCCAAAAGUACCGCCUCCAAACCACGCCCCUAGCCCCGCCUACAUUGCCACGCCUCUAGCCUGCUUAAUAAAAUGCCUGGUACUUCCGCAAUAAAGUGGAUCUGCACCAUCAGCCUGGUCUCCGGUGUCUUCUUUUCACCGUGUCGCCGCUUACCACGGGCCCAGGUCCCUCGACCCAAAGAGGUUCUACCUCAAACUAGAAUUUUCCCAUUAAUUGUUUUGAAUCACAUUUGAUCAACUUAACUGAAGCAGCAGAGAUCAAAACUGCAGGUAAGAAAAGUAGUUUGUUACAGGGAAUUGUAAAUUGACUAAGUGGUCAGAAUUAUUCUACCCCUAUGA